rnacentral:rRNA from 1 species
UACGAAGGGAGCGAGCGUUGUUCGGAAUCACUGGGCGUAACGCGUGCGUAGGCGGUUUUGUACGUAAGAAGUGAAAGCCUGGGGCUCAACCUCAGAAUUGCUUUUUAGACUGCAAAGCUAGAGUAUUGGAGAGGUCAGUGGAAUUCCGAGUGUAGAGGUGAAAGUCGCAGAUAUUCGGAGGAACACCAGUGGCGAAGGCGACUGACUGGACAAUUACUGACGCUGAGGCACGAGAGCGUGGGGAUCAAACAGG